GCUGUCGUCAGCUCGUGUUGUGAAAUGUUGGGUUAAGUCCCGCAACGAGCGCAACCCUUAUCCUUUGUUGCCAGCGGUCCGGCCGGGAACUCAAAGGAGACUGCCAGUGAUAAACUGGAGGAAGGUGGGGAUGACGUCAAGUCAUCAUGGCCCUUACGACCAGGGCUACACACGUGCUACAAUGGCGCAUACAAAGAGAAGCGACCUCGCGAGAGCAAGCGGACCUCAUAAAGUGCGUCGUAGUCCGGAUUGGAGUCUGCAACUCGACUCCAUGAAGUCGGAAUCGCUAGUAAUCGUGGAUCAGAAUGCCACGGUGAAUACGUUCCCGGGCCUUGUACACACCGCCCGUCACACCAUGGGAGUGGGUUGCAAAAGAAGUAGGUAGCUUAACCUUCGGGAGGGCGCUUACCACUUUGUGAUUCAUGACUGGGGUGAAGUCGUAACAAGGUAACCGUAGGGGAACCUGCGGUUGGAUCACCUCCUUA
rnacentral:rRNA from 3 species